rnacentral:lncRNA from 1 species
GUAUGCUUCCUGUAUUGUACAAAUGUAAUGAAUGAACCGUUGGACUGAAAUUCAGUACAUUAUGGAGGAACAAACAAUUAUUAAACUACUGACUUUUCAAUUUAAAUUUUAAUCAGCUAGUUUACAAUCAACUAGCUAAUAUGCACAGAUUUUCCUUUUCAAAAAUUAAAGUGAGGCCAAACAACUUAAUAUACAAAUGAUAAAUUUUUACUAAACAGAAUCCCACAAGGUUGGAUCAAAUUGGCAACGGACCUCUCGUUUAGUUGUAAAUUUUACUAACAUGUAUUGAUUCUAUAAAUUCUAUCAUUGCUUUCUAAGUCCCUUGCAUCCAAGAUAUUUGUUUUCACUAGGUCCAAGAGUCAAUGUAGUUACUCUGAUAUAUCGUUAUAGUGUGUUUAAUUUUUAACCUUUAAAAUACCGCUCUAUAUUGUUUUCAUAUCUGUUUAAUUGCUUUUAAACUCGUUCAAUCACCAUUUGCCUCGGACAAUUCACACCCCUUACAGUUACAUCUUCUUGAUCUACUAUGGAUAUAGCUCAUUGACGUGCUCGCUUAAUACAUUGCAACUAGGGCUAUGUUUGGCACCAGUUUUUUUUAGUUUUUUUUUGGUAUUUUUGCUUGAAAUAAGCAAAAAAAAAAACAAUCAGAGUUAGUUUUUUUGUUUUUUUGUUUUUUUGUAGUUUUAGUUAAAAUAAAAUCAUAAAAGCAAAAAAAAAAAAAAAAUUGGUCUUUUUAGGUAGGGGCAAGCUAAAAAAACUUGCUGUUUUAAAAAUAUUACCAAACGGAGCAAAAAUCCCCAAAAACAAAAUGAACAUGGGUUUCUUACUGAUUAUAUGCUACCUUUAUCUCUAACUCUACGCUUAGAGUUGCAUUUUGACGUAGGAGAUUAAAGGACAAGCGAUGUGCAUGAGUAGCGGAUAAAGAGUGAAAUAGAAGGGGAAAAAAUAACCUUGAGGGAACUGAAAAAUGGAAUUUAUGACUUGAAAACAGAGCAGAAGUGUGAUUCCUUCUGUUUAUGGUUCCAUUUGGAUGACAUCGUCAUCCCACUUUUGACGGUUUAGGAAACCAAAGUUUCAUUCUCUGUUUAUGGCACACCCCAAAACCACUUAGUUUCACUGUGUUAGUGGAUUAUUUUAUGGUUAUUAUUUUGUUAUUAGAAAUAAGGGUAGAAUAGGAAUUUAUUGCCUUUGUCAUUAGGACGUAGUUAAGCUUUUUAUCUUUCUCUGUAGGAUUAUUCUAAAAUUUUAUGAAACCCUAGCCGCGGUUGUCUCUAUGUUUCUUGUUGGCAUUCUCACUGGUAUCAGGCAUUGAUCCUGAUGGGCCUCGCAUCCUAGAUUGCAUGAAAGGAAGUAAUCUCUUACAAGCUUUUGCCGGAUGCCAGGGGCGGUGUUGUGUGCCCCGAAAAAAAAAAUUUCGGGUUGGUGGUACCAUUGCUUUGUUUUUUUAGAUCGUAGUUGACAGGAUACAGUUUUUGCAUCUAUGUUUUUUUUUUUAGAUCGAAUAUUCUCUAGUUGAUUGGGAUUCUAGUAUUAUUAUUUUUUUUUUACGGCAAGGCUGUGGAACGGGCGGAUUCACUUUCAGCCUAUCAGCACGAGAUUGGAUGGAAAGAAGUACUUCGUAUUGGAGUUAUGUUAUGAAGAAAUUUUUUGAAGGAAAAAAAAAAAUGUGGGGGUAUGUUGUGGCACCAUGGGUCAACCUACAGAUCGCGAUGAUGAAAAAUGCAGAAGAACAAGUUAGAAGUUGGGAUGUCAAUACUUCCCCAAAUUAGAUUAUAUUUAUGUUUAGUUAUUUUGUUUUAGAAAGUAAGGGUAGAUAGUAAUUUAUUACCUUUGUUAUUAGGGUUAUUUAAACUCUUUUUAUUCUUUUCUUGUAUUAUAUUCUGAAAUUAUGCAAACCCUAACCUCUUUUUCUCUAUGUUCUUUGUAUUCAACACAACUAAUCUAAAACCUCUAGCAAAGUGGCUUCUUUCUCUCCGUUGGAUCGUUUCAUAAGUGGUCCGCAAUCUAAAAAUAAAAACAUCUAUAAGAUCGUAGAGGGAACCCUGGUUAGAGGAUAUGAAUCCUGGAAUCAGUCACGUAAGAAUAUUAUAAAAUAUCAAAAUAAAAAAAUUUGAAAAUUUAUUUAUUGUUUGUAUUUGUUCGGUUAAUGUAGAUUGAGAAACUAUGGCUGCCAAUGUGUUAGCUCCAAAAAGAUUAUGAAUAUGUUUGGUAGAACUUUGGAAUGAGGAAACCCAACAAGCAAAAUGCCCUCUGUAAGCUCGGUAUUUCGUGGGACCGGUGACCAAGGAAUAAGAACGAGAAUAAACGUUACCGACCGAGGUGAGGCUGAGGCUGCUCUAAAUUCCACAUCGUGGAGAUGAGAUCGAUGUGAAUAAACUAGACAGAGUAGAGCAAGAAAAGCAUAGAGUUAGGCUCAGAGAGUGAGAAUACAAUUACCCUCUUCUGGUGGAUGGAGAACGGUCUUUUAUAGAUGAAAAUUUACAGUCGUACGAGAAGAUCACGGAGUAAUCAUUGGGCAGUCAAGUAUGAAAGGCGUGGCCGAGGAUUUCGAAGUAAAAGGAGAAGAAUGCCAAAUGGAGGUAGUACCGUGAAUAUAUGAGACUUGAUGGAGAUAGAGUCUCAAGAUCAUCUCAUAGUGACUGGUAAGAUAGAUGUGGCGACAUGAAAUUGGCGAGGUAAAAUCCCAUGGAAUAUGUGGAUGACAUUUCAGAAAAUCCGAGCUUAACGAAUUGAUCACAUCAGAUAAGGCGGCAUAAUUAUGGUGAUGUGCUUAUUUCAGUAGAUGAACUUGGUAACUUGCUUACUUCAUAGUGAAGAUUGUACUCCUCAUCAACAUCAAAUUGUUUUGUGAAUUUCGUAGAGACGUUAGUAUAAUUUAUUAUAGUGUUUUAUAUGGAAGGAAGUAAAGAAUGUGUAACUGUUUGUUUUUAUUUGAAAGAUUAAUAUUAAUAAAUUGCUUUGAUUUUUUAAAAUAUAAAAUUGAUUUUUAUAAAAUUGAUUAACGAAAUAACACUAUAAAUAUAAAUACAGGCAAAUUUGAGGAUUUUUUUUAAAAAAAAUGAUAUAACAUUGUUUUUAAAAUUAGAAUUAAACCUUGAUGUUAAUGGCUCUAUUUAAGCAAUUGAUAGGUCAUUUUCUAUUCUGGACCUGGGGGUGUAAAUUCUCAUAAAAACAUGCCGAAGUGGGAUUCUCUCUUAAAGAGGUUAGUAUAUAUAGUGUAUCGGAAGGCGUGCACCUAUGUUUUCUUAAAAAAAUUAAAUUGAUAUGUGUGCCUACAUCAACACAUUUCUUUCAAAAAAGAAUUGUCAUGGGCUAGCCUAAAAGUAGGCCAUUCAUUUUUUUAGGGUUAACUAUACUUUACCCCAUUAAAAUAUUGAUUAAUUCCCCCAUUAGCUCUCAGCUUAUUGAAUUUGUUGCCAUUAAGGUCGUCUACUAACUCUAUCGAACAGAAAAUGACAAGUGUCACCCAUGUCGAUAAUGAAAUCAAUUUCAAUUUUUCGAAACCCAUACCUUAACCCAAACCAUAAAGCCCAAUUAAAUUUCCUAACCCUAACCUAAAUGCCCCUUCUAUCCUAUCCCCAAACACAAUGCGGUACCCAGUGCCAUUGCUUCAAAUCACCGCCGCCACGGACCCACCAUCACUACCACCCAAAAAGAGAUCCAAACCACUUCCUCCAGUUAAACAAGAGAGAGACUAGCAAACUAGAGAGAGAUCAGAUGCAAUAAACUCUAUAGCGACGGUGAUGAUUAUAACGUUAACGAUACAAACGAGACAACUUCAUCUCUCUCUUUGUGCUCUUGUAGACUCGGUGACGAGAGCAACGAACCCGGUGAGGAGACAACGCAAUGACGAAGAGACUUCAUCUCUCUCUCUUUAUAUUAUCUCAUAUUUCUGUGCGAGACAGUGAGCAACAGCGGCGGCGGUUUAAUUACGACAAUUUGGGUUAGGAUUUGGAUUUGGGUAAGGAUCUGGGAGGAAAUGGGUAAAGAAUUUGUGCGGAGCCUACUUGAUAAACUCUAUCUACAAAGUUAGACAGAGUUAGUAAUUAGUUCUGAUUGUAAACUAUUCAAUGCAUUGAGGGUCGAUGUAGAAAAAUGUUUAGUUAGAGAGCUAAAGUGAAAAUCGGUUAAUACUUUAUCGGGACAAAGUGUCGUUAACCCUCUUUUUUCCCCUAUAGUGAUAAAAUCACAUAAAUAUAAUUAUUAAGCAAUUUUAAUUUUAUCACGAAUAAAAUGCUAACCACUGGCCAGCCGCGAACGUGAAAUGGUCACCAUUUUUCCUUUUAAUUCGAUUCGUUGGCUUAUUUAUGAGGAUGUGGUGGGACCGCCUGCAAAGGAGUGAGUGAGGUGAUGUGUGAGGGUGAAAUCCCGGGCUUCUUGACAUUCAAGUAGAGGUGCUGACAGUGAUGACACGUGUGUUGAUUGAGAGUUGCAAAGUGGGAGGAACAACGAAUGCACGAAAUUAGGCAGCGCACGUUCCCUGCCCACAAGCCUUGCAGCCCCACCAUUUUUGUUUCAACAAAAAGAUGCCCGUUUUUCACGGAAAAAUUACCAAAUCCCGCGAGGAACCAAACAAACAUCACCAACUCUCACAGCAUGAAUUUUUUUGGAAAAGUAAAUUGCAAACAACUAGCUAAACAUCCAUUGGCACCUAAUGGAUUCUCAAAAACACUUAACGAACGACAACUGUAAGUGAUUUUUAAUAGGGUGCACACAUAUAUUAGUGUGUAUGAAGAGAGUCUAAAAUUAUUUGGAAUAGAGAGAUUAGACUCCACAUAAGUAUUGCAGAUCUUACAUUACAUUACUUAUCUAAGGCGAGUCCAUCUAUUACUAAUUUAUUUUAGCUUAAAAAAAUUUGAAAUAUCUAUUCUUGUUCCGGAACUAGAUCUAGUGCGGCCUCGUACGCCAAGUAUCAAUCCAAAAUUUGUUUCUCUAUGUUGCUCCAUCUAUUACUAAUUUAUUUUGAGCUUGCAUAUUUUCAAAUUAUUUAUUUUAAGACCGGA